rnacentral:rRNA from 1 species
CCUACGGGCGGCAGCAGUAGGGAAUAUUGCACAAUGGGGGAAACCCUGAUGCAGCGACGCCGCGUGAGUGAAGACGUAUCUCGGUAUGUAAAGCUCUAUCAGCAGGGAAGAAAAUGACGGUACCUGAUUAAGAAGCCCCGUCUAACUACGGUCCAGCAGCCGCGGGAAUACGUAGGGGGCAAGCGUUAUCCGGAUUUACUGGGUGUAAAGGGAGCGUAUACGGCAGCACAAGUCUGGAGUGAAAUGCCGGGGCUUAACCCCGGAACUGCUUUGGAGACUGUGCAGCUAGAGUGCAGGAGAGGUAAGUGGAAUUCAUAGUGUAGCGGUGAAAUGCGUAGAUAUUAGGCGGAACACCAGUGGCGAAGGCGACUUACUGGACUGUAACUGACGUUGAGGCUCGAAAGCGUGGGGAGCAAACAGGAUUAGAUACCCGAGUAGUC